UCUUGAUGUGUUCCACGACAAGUUGCGU
rnacentral:piRNA from 1 species